AUGACGUCGUUGUAUACUCUAGUUCUGAGAAACUCCAGGAUAUCUGACAACCUUUCUUCAGUGGACUUCUCAAAAUUUGUUAACCUCAACUAUCUGGACUUGAGUUUUAACAGCAUCACAGGCAAAGUUACUCCAAACCUUCUGAACCUGAAUCCCCUCGAAUUCCUAUUUCUUGGGAGUAAUAACCUCUCUGGGAGCCUACCAGAUAUGAUUAGCACUUCACUUACUACUAUUGAUCUGUCAUACAAUAUGCUCUCAGGAAGAUACCCUUCUUGGGUUAACAUGAAUAAUUUACAUGUGAAUUUGGUGUGGAACAACUUUGGGAUAGAUAACUCGAACAACAGUAUUUUGCCUUCACGACUAAAUUGUCUUCAGCGAGAUACUCCAUGUUUUGAUUCUCCAUCUUAUUCCUCCUUUGCGGUAGACUCUGGUGGUUCGAGACCCAUCAGAGGCUCAGACAACUCCAUUUACGAACCUGAUGAUGCCAGUCUUCCAGUUGCAUCAUACUAUGUUACGGACUCAACGAGAUGGGGCGUUAGCAACAUCGGGAGAUUCAUGGACCCGUCUAAUGGGAGUUAUAUAAUAUACACUUCUCGCCAGUUUACCAACACACUUGAUUCUGAACUAUUUCAGACAGCCAGAAUGUCACCCUCUUCAUUGAGAUACUUCGGCAUUGGGCUCAAGAAUGGCAUGUACAGCGUUGUACUUCAGUUUGCAGAGAUUUUUUUCCCAGAUGACGAGACAUGGAAAAGCGUGGGAAAGAGGAUUUUCAAUAUAUAUAUCCAGGGAGAUCUUAAAGAAACAGACUUCGAUAUAAAGAAACAAACAAAUGGAAAAUCUUACACUGUUAUUCAGAGACAGUAUACUGUUGAAGUAAUGAAUAAUUUCAUUGAUAUCCAUCUCUUUUGGGCUGGAAAGGGCACUUGUUGCAUUCCUGAACAAGGGUUCUAUGGGCCAUCUAUAUCAGCCUUAAGCGUAUCUUCUUAUGGUAGCAACGGUGAAGGGGAUUCUGGUUCACAGAGAAACAGCACUAUCAGUAGAACAGGUUUGGUUGUUGGAGUUGUAGUCUGUGUUGCGGUUUUAGGAUUUCUAGCAUUCGCUGGGGCCUUUGUUUGGAGGCAGAAAAGAAGGAGGUUAGAGGUGGAAAUGGAAGAGCUGUUCACUAUAGUUGGAAGGCCUAACAUUUUCAGUUAUGGUGAAAUAAAAUCUGCUACGGACAGUUUUAGUCUUAGCAACAUUCUUGGAAGAGGGGGUUAUGGACCUGUUUACAAGGGUAAGCUACUUGAUGGGAGGAUUGUAGCUGUAAAGCAGCUGUCUUCUACAUCUCAUCAAGGGAAAAAGGAGUUCAUGACAGAAAUUGCCACCAUAUCUGCGGUGCAGCACCGAAACCUCGUGAAGUUGCACGGUUGUUGCAUCGACAGUAAGACGCCACUUUUGGUCUAUGAGUACCUGGAACAAGGGAGCCUUGAUCAAGCAAUCUUUGGCAAGACAGACUUGAACCUAGAUUGGAGAACGCGCUUCGAGAUAUGCGUUGGCAUUGCAAGAGGUCUAGCAUAUCUCCAUGAGGAGUCCAGCAUGCGGAUAGUCCACAGGGACAUCAAAGCCAGCAAUGUCUUGCUCGACGCUGAUCUCAACCCUAAGAUCUCUGACUUCGGGCUGGCCAGGCAUUACAAGGACAGCAUGACGCAUCUCAACACCGGAGUCGCUGGCACGCUUGGUUAUCUCGCACCCGAGUACGCCAUGAUGGGACACCUGACGGAGAAGGCCGACGUUUUCGCAUUCGGGGUCGUGGCACUGGAGAUCCUCGCUGGACGCCGGAACUUCGAUGACAGUCUCGAGGAAGAUGAGAAGUAUCUUCUUGGAUGUGCCUGGCAUCUGCAUGAGAGCCAACGGACACUUGAACUGUUGGACAGUAAACUCAUUGAAUUCGACGAGGAAGAGGCUGCGCGACUCAUCAAUGUUGCUCUUCUAUGCACGAUGGGCCUGCCUCAGCGGCGCCCACCGAUGUCCAAGGUCGUGUCCAUGCUCACGGAAGAUAUCGAGGUGACCGACGUGGACACCACCAUGAGGCCUAGCUACGUGCCGGAAUGGCAGGUCAGGAGCUUCAGCAGCAGUUACGUCUCAGGGUCGGGGUCGUCGGCUCAGCAGUCCUCACGCAGUCAAAUCAGCGCGCUGUCCAGCUCGAGCAAGAAGCCCGGGAACCACAGGGACACCUCGCCGCUCGCCCUGUCGCCUUGUUCUAGCGGCGGGAUCGACGAGGGAGCGGAUUCUGGUUCGAGAUGA
rnacentral:rRNA from 1 species